UGCAUGAAGUCGGAAUUGCUAGUAAUCGUAGGUCAGCAUACUACGGUGAAUACGUUCCCGGGCCUUGUACACACCGCCCGUCAAACCAUGAGAGUUGGCAACACCCGAAGUCGGUAGUCUAACCGCAAGGAGGACGCCGCCGAAGGUGGGGUUGAUGAUUAGGGUUAAGUCGUAACAAGGUAAC
rnacentral:rRNA from 1 species